rnacentral:lncRNA from 1 species
GCAAUAUUGAAAUUAAAAAGUUAAAAAUAUCUAGUAAUUUAGAAAAAGAGCAGAAUAAAGCUCAUAUUCUUUAUGUUUUAAAUGUUUUGAGAUAUUUUUUUCAAAAUCAUAACAAUUCCAAAUAAGACAGGUAUUGUAAUAAUAGCUGAAUUUGAAAAAAGGAAAAACCACUAGCUAGGAUUAUAUUACUACUUUCAUUCUAUCAAGGAGUAUAGCCAGGUAGAAGCCAAAUCUUUUCAAAUGUCAGAUUUAAAUAAGAUUAACCAUAUUUUGUAUGCUUCUAUCACUCCCAGUUUUCAUAUACUGUACUUAUGGGGACACUUCCAGUCAAUAUCCACCUAAAUUUUUUUUAAGAAUUAUCCUCCUAGUUAGAAGUGAUUUUUUAGGAUAUGGAGAAACUUAUAGACUCUCUAAUUAUUAUAUAUCUUUCAUAGGUACUGAGAAGGCAAUGAUAUGGUGAGAGGAGAAGAAGGGCCAACAUAUACUUUUUCUCACUCUUGAUACUUCCGUAUUCAUUCAUUCAUCCAUAAUUAUUAAGCAUCAAUUGUGUUUCAAUGACUAAGGAACAUCCAGGCAAUGCAAUCAUUGUUCUCAUGGAACUCCCAGUUAGUGUGAAAGAAUACUAUGUGAAUCAGUUAUUACACUAUGGCCUGACUAAUGGCAUGAAGUGGAAUGGAAGUACAGAGGGGCAGUACAUAAGAGACCAGAGUGAGGGAGGAUGUUGGAGGGGGUAAGUUACACUUGAACUUAACAAUGAGGAAUGAGUUGUUUUUGAGUUAAAUAAAGAGAAAGGAUAUUUUAGUUAGGAGGAAUCACAUGUGCACAGGUGUGCAAAACUAAGCUCAUUGGGAGUAAUGUGUGUGCCUUUCCAUGACUAGACCUUUGGAUGCCUCUGAAGAGUGGCAGGUGAACCUGGGGAGAAACUCCUGUUAUUUGUGAAAUUACCUCUAUUGUUACAGUCUGACAAAUUACUAACAGAUACACAUCACAAAAUUCCAGGUACCUCAGCUCAUUUCACUGCUUUCCUUGGUAUUUUACUUUCUCUCCCAUGAUUACUGUCAUUUAAUUUUUUUUCAGCUCUGUGUUAAAUCACCAUCUAAUUAUGCAUCAUCACAUCAACUCAUAACAGUUGAGCAUGCCUCACUCUUAAAUUUUAAAAGCAACUCUGUUGGGUCAGGCAUACAAUGAGAGUGUUGUCACUUUUCUUGGCCUUGCUUUACUCUCUGUGUGUUUGGGAUUUUUCUACUCCAUGAUUAUUGUGGAAAUCUGCUCAGAGAGAAUGAGGGGCAGGGUGAGGGAAAGAUCUUUUGUGAUGUAGAUAAGGUGAGGAAUAAGGACUAAAACAGGAAACUGUCCCACAGUUGUUCCAUUGCCAAAGUCAGAUGCCUUUGCCUGUUUUCUUGUUACUAAUGCAUGUAUCUAAUGAAAAGGCAUUUGAGAACUGAUAGGAAGCUGGAGGGUGGAUCUUGAGUUUUAGCUAUUUUAAAUAUGAUCAAAAUGCUUUGCAAUUUGGAUUAAAAUUCUUAAUAUAUUUGUGAGUCAAUUAAUGUCUAUUUUGCCAAUUUUCAAAUGAACACAAUACCACUUAAUGUUUG